rnacentral:rRNA from 1 species
CGAGAACGGACUUAAGCUUGCUUAAGUUGUCAGCUAAGUGGCGCACGGGUGAGUAAUAUAUAGUUAACCUGCCCUCGAGAAAGGAAUAACAGUUGGAAACGACUGCUAAUGCCCUAUAUGCCUUUAAGACAUAAGUCUGCAAGGGAAAUGCUUUUGUGCUCGAGGAUGGGACUGUACGGUAUCAGUUAGUUGGUGAGGUAAUGGCUCACCAAGACAAUGACGCCUAACUGGUUUGAGAGGAUGAUCAGUCACACUGGAACUGAGACACGGUCCAGACUCCUACGGGAGGCAGCAGUGGGGAAUAUUGCACAAUGGAGGAAACUCUGAUGCAGCAACGCCGCGUGGAGGAUGACACAUUUCGGUGCGUAAACUCCUUUUAUAUAGGAAGAUAAUGACGGUACUAUAUGAAUAAGCGCCGGCUAACUCCGUGCCAGCAGCCGCGGUAAU